rnacentral:lncRNA from 1 species
GCGACUUGGCGGCGGGUGCCAUGCGUCUGGAGCUUCACAUUCUCUGCCCCCCACCCACCGCGCCGGCGCUCCCUUGUCACGCCUCGGGAAGCGCGCACCUGCCAAGCAGGAUGAAUAAUCUGAUAUCAUGUGAAAUGAGGAAAUAAGAAGCUUUCUGCUGACUUCAUUUUGACCCAGGGUCCAAAAGGUGAUGUAAUCCUGUGGCAAGAAGAUUCAAAACUGUGGACUAUCUUGCAAAAAAUACAAGAAGAUAUUGAAAGUUUUCAUGAGUGCCUACCACCUAAUCUCAAACACUAUCAUUCAUAUGUGCCUCAUUGAGCAAAUCUUUAAUGAGGAUCUAUAUGCCAGCAAUAUCUUUUGCUUGGGAGCAGAAACAGAAAGUACAUGAUGGACUUCAUUGAAGGAUGGAGAUUUGGAAGACAUGAAUGGAUGAAGAACCAAGUGCGUGAGGGCACCUAUCAGGAUUAUUGCUGAAAUCCUUAUGGAGUUAACUGGCUGAGAGGAAGGCAAGCAAGCGAGGACUGAUGGGCCCUUGGCACUGUGAGAACAGUGGAGGAGGAGGGAGCAGGGUUCAUAAGGAGGAGCACAAACAGAAAGUUCAGUGGCCCCAAUAAAAAUAACACCAGAAUCUUCCAGAUACUUUCUCCAUAAGGCGAAAAGUAGAGAUGGGGUUUCACCAUGUUGCCCAGGCUGGUCUCAAACUCCUGAGCUCAGGCCAUCUGCCCGCCUCGGCCUCCCAAAGUGCUAGGAUUACAGAAGGUGCCUGCUUCCCCUUCACCUUCCACCAUGAUUGUAAGUUUCCUGAGGCCUCCCCAGACAUGUGGAACUAACAGGUUUCUCUUAUUGCCUGGAUCCAAGAGCAUCUCCUGGGUUCUUCCUGUUAGAAUACUGAAUGUCCAUGGAGAGUUUAACAUAAGGAAGAAGAGGCCUGUCUCCCAGCUGAAACUGGUGCAGCAGAUCAUGCAAAGUAAAACCUCAGCAGCUGUGAUGAAGUAGAGCAGAGGGCCUGGGUGUCUGUCAGCUCCAAGCGGAAGAUUUCCCCAGCUUUCUAGAUUUCUGACUUCAUAUCUGUGGGAUCCACACAAUGGGGAGGUACUGGCCUUGGAAUCCAUGGUUCCCCAGCUAUCAUUUUACUUUAGAAUUACAGUGUUCUCUGUUAGUGUCAAGGGAAUGAACCUGACGAGAAAAGACCAAACAUAGGACUGUUACAGGGAAGAAAAAUAUGAAAAGACCUAAAGAUGCACGUCCUCAUUAUAUGUAAGGAAUCUAUUUCCUAGAAUCCUAUAAAAAGCUCAAGUGAAUUUGCUUCAGUUAAUAAAUGUGAUUUAAUUAUAAUGAUAAUGCCACA